rnacentral:rRNA from 1 species
GUUGAACGCUGGCGGCAUGCCUUACACAUGCAAGUCGAACGGUAGAGGGGCAACCCUUGAGAGUGGCGAACGGGUGAGUAAUAUAUCGGAACGUGCCCAGUCGUGGGGGAUAACGUAGCGAAGUUACGCUAAUACCGCAUACGAUCUACGGAUGAAAGCGGGGGAGUCGCAAGACCUCGCGCGAUUGGAGCGGCUGAUAUCAGAUUAGGUAGUUGGUGGGGUAAAGACCUACCAAGCCUGCGAUCUGUAGCUGGUUUGAGAGAACGACCAGCCACACUGGGACUGAGACACGGCCCAG